GGUUGUAUUCAUUCGUCUUGAAGACAGCUCCCAGGUCAGCCCUACUCCUUUCACCUCUACAAACUCUUCACCAACCAGCAUCUCUCUCAUCUCACCUUGAGGAAAUGGCCCAAUGAGGAAUGCAAUAGCAAGAGGCAAGCUAAGUACAUUUCAAUUCUUUCUGAGAGGAAGAAAUCUUUCUCAACAAGUCUGAUGGAGCAAUAAAUACUGGACGUCUGUGUGUUGUGCCAUGGGCAGAUCAGAUACAGAAAACUUUCAGCUUAUGAAUGAGAUCCAUGAUGCAGAGAGACAGUUAUCACAAGCAGCAUCACAUGGGUUGCCAGGUCAGAACCACUGUAGACCAAAGCCAAAUCCCACUGGGCCUAGGCAAGUUGAGACCGCCAAGCAGGGCCAGGGACUGCGGUACUGAGGUACUGAGGAGCAUAUUGUUGAAGAACAGAAAGACCUAUAGCCACCAGCCAGAUCAACAAGAAGCAACAUGACUGAAUUUGAACGAUGGAUACUCAGGAGCAUGACUCAAAAGGGUACACUCACAUUCUCUCCCUCCUCAACCCUCCAAUUGUAUCUUCCUCUUACUCACUUCUAGUGAAUUACAUUGCUUCCUAUUUUAUCAAAAUGGCUAAAGCCAUCAUAAAAGUCCUUGUCUACUA